rnacentral:tRNA from 1 species
UCUACUAAAGGACAACAGGUACUCCGUUGGUCUUAGGCACCAAACACUUGGGCGCAAUUCCAAGUAGUAGAA